rnacentral:lncRNA from 1 species
GGUAGCGUGUCAGUCCGUGAUCCUGGGUAGAUAGAGCAGGGCAGCGACGGAAGACUGCCUAUAGGACAUUCACGCUGGGAUGAGAGGGGCCUGAGAGGCCUGGGCUUUGUGACAGGGAAACUUGGAUAAAGGGUGGUGCGAUUCUUCCGGGGGCUCGCCGGUUCUCCAGCCCGGACUGCUGCCAGAGGCUUCCUGGAGGUGGCAGCUUUCUUCAAAGGCACCAUCCCGGAGCGCAAGCCCCUGAUGGGCGCAGAAAAUUCGGGACAGACCACGUAGAGGUGGGCUCCCAAGCAGGUGCGGACGGCACCAGGCCGCCCAAGGCAUCGCUGCCACCUGAGCUCCAGCCGCCCACAAACUGCUGCAUGAGUGGCUGCCCCAACUGCGUGUGGGUGGAGUACGCGGACAGGCUGCUGCAGCACUUCCAGGACGGUGGGGAGCGGGCCCUGGCUGCCCUGGAGGAGCACGUGGCUGAUGAGAACCUCAAGGCCUUCCUCAGGAUGGAGAUCCGGCUGCACACCAGGUGCGGAGGCUGAGCCAUCCCUGCUGGACUCCCUACCGCAGGACGGAGUCCAGGACGCAGCCGCAGCCUCCUUCCUUCACACCCCCUCACAGACUCCUUGUGUCCAACGGGAAUAGGAAGAAUUAGUUACUGACUUCACCUGAGAAAAAAAUAAAUUC